rnacentral:lncRNA from 1 species
CCCCUUCCCUUUUAUUUCCCUAGCACCACGGUAUGUUAUUUAUCUUUUAACCCUAUUAUUCUCCAUAUUUCCCUUAUUUCCACCCCUUUGUAGGUCCUUAAUCACAUCAACUACUUAUUGAUAUAUGUGUAUUCAAUCUCAUCGUGUUCCCUUAUGAGGUCUACUAGUUGAUUUUCACCGAUCUGUAUAACACAAGUUAGAUCUAUCUGUAAAUCCCUAAGCUUAACUCAAAUUGGAACUAAUACCUGCUAUACAUGAAUUAAUUACUAUCAACAUGGUCAUUACCGCAAGACUUCUUUUCUCCCUUACCUGAUUGAUGAUCCCUAUUCUCAUCCACCAUUUACCUUAGACUUCGCUACUAAGUUACUGCACAGGAAUAUUCUUCACCAUCACAUCGAAAUCAUACUAAAUGCACAUACAUAACUCGCUAGAAAUCUAUAUCCACGAUAUAGGAAAUUUAUAAUAAUCAUUUC